UAUUAAAAAAAAAAACUAAAGAGAGAGAUUGAUGAAUGAAGAAAAGAAGAGAAUAGCUAUGGUUCAUUUGAAGAAGAAGGGGUUAUUACUGAAUUGAUUUACUUCUUGAUUUACUUCUUUUUCUCGCCAAUUGGUCAUCCCCAAAAUGUGAAGCUAUGAAAUCAAACCUUGGGGGGUGUGUGCGGAUUUUGGCUACUUUCUAAAGGAAUGAGGAAACGAGAGAGCCACAGUCGAGUGAGACUCUUAAAUCUUGAAUUUGACAGGUAGAGCCACACCCACAAACGCAAUCACAUAGCAAGACUCGACAUGACAGUGUGGAUUCGACAGAGGAGGGAGAUAAGGUGGAGCAGGAGAAGUGAAAGUCAACUGUUCAUAGUCGAGACUCAAAAAUCGACGGCGUUGGUGGAGAAGUGAGCCAAGAAUGGGAACUGAAAUGAGAUUACACUGUCUGACAUAGACAACAAGGCGAGCAGUGGAGAAGAAAAGGAAAGAAAAUAAA
rnacentral:misc_RNA from 1 species